GCCGCAUCAGCCGUGUGAGGUCAGCCUACAAGCAGCCCCUGCCUUUGGUCUACUCCACCGACUUCUCCAAGCCUUAGCCAUGGUGGGGAUGUAUGUCUGUUUGACCAGGCUGGCACUAGGUCAAAGGUCACCCCAACUCUUUCACUUUAAACCAGACUGUUCUGGGUUUGUCUGGCAUUGUGUUGUGAGGGUUUUUUUCGGGGGGGGGGAGUUUAAGUUUUCCCUGUCAUGUGCUAUAUUCUGGAGUAGUUGACCUAACCUUAGCUUCAAACAACCUUGAAACACCCCCAAAAUGAAGAUCAGGAACCGUCCCCUCCUGGUUCAUGCCCACACCCAAGUCUAAGUCCAGCAAAGGUGCUCUAAUUCGAAUAGAUACCAAUCUCCAACAUCCCAGUAUAUGCCUGCAGGCUCUCCAAGCCUCUCAGCUUCCAGGAGUUCUCCCCGUUCUGUGACAGUUGUGUAGUCAAGACCCACGCCCCAUCUGCCGGGCAGCCUAGAGACUGUGUACUCUGCCUACAAGCAGAGCUAAAUGGGAAAGGCAUCCCCAUGCUCCCCAACUUGCUUUACGGUACCAGCAGUUCUAUUCCUUUGAAUAGCACAAAGACUAUGAAGCACUGUAGUUGAGCCUGUGACUGCGCUUGCCCGAGGUGGGGAGGGUUGGGGGCUGUUGAAGUGGAACACCAGACCUUUAAGUAGACCCGGGCUGAGUUUGCUGGGGUGGUGGUCAAGAAAGCCUAAGUGUGAGGGGACAGGACACAGAGUGGGGUACACACUGCUUCAGCCUUCUCCAGGAGGCUGGGUCAAAGGUGUCAGCCCUGGCCCUGAAGUUCAGGAGACAGAAAGAAAGCUGGCUUCCUGUCCAGACCUCAGGGUAUCACCUACAGGGGCCUCUCUCUGCCUUGGGAGGUCUCCCUUCCAAGAUUCCCGGACUCACCUGAUCACUACUCCUAUGGUGGCCUCAACAGCCCGCAAAGCCCAGAGCAUCUAGAGUUUGCAGCCAGCAGCUUCUGAAGGUGCUUCCAGCCUGACACGGGAGUUCUGAGGGCCAGGGGAAUAAAGGGAAGGAACCAACUGGGUCCUGGAUCACUAAAGGGGACUGUCGUACCUAAGCCUGGACCAACAUGGCUCCCAGAAAAGUGAUCAAGGUGAUGACAUCAGCGAAGAACAGUGGAGGAGAGAGGGCCCGCCCCUGAUGGUGGCUGGUCUAUUUUUUUCUAUUCUAUUCCAUUCCACUCCACUCCAAUCCAUUCCUGCUACAGACACAAUGACCAAAAAUAACAAGGAGAGGAAAGGGUUUAUUUUAUCUUACAACUCCCAGGUAAUGGUGUAUCUCGGAGGGAAGUCAGGAUAGGAAGAACAGAGAAAUGCUGCUUCCUGGUUCACUUCCUGGCUCACUUCCUGUCUUGUUCAUAGGCUCAUACUUGACCAGUUUGUUUUUUACCCAGCCCAGGACCACCUGCUCAGAGAAUGGCUCUGCUUGUAAUGGGAUGGGCCUCGCUACCUCAAUGGCUCACAGACAUGUCCAAGGGCCAGCGUAACCAAAGCAAUUCCUCAACUGAGGCUCCAACUCUCAGACGACUUUAAAGGAUGUCAAGUUGACAAAGCAACCAGGACAGUGGGGGUGGGGGACGCGGAACCAGGCCUUACGUCUGACAUGGUCUGCCCUGGGUCCAGAGCUUGUGCCUGUUCAUUUAUUCCUCAACUUAUUUAGUUACCUCCAAGGUAGGUCCGUGGACUCUCUUCCUGAAGAUAACUUCCUAAAACGUGCCACUGAUGGGCCGGUGCCGACAGUCCAUACAUGUGAUUGACACAUAUGAUAUGGGUGUGCGAGCCCUGUGUGUGUGUGUGUGUGUGUGUGUGUGUGUGUGUGUGUGUGUCCCACAGGUGUGGCCUGCAUGCUCCUUUAUGAAAAUAUUUGUCCCCCUGUGAACUGGCUGGUUUUGUGUGUCAACUUGACACAAGCUGGAGUCAUCGCAGAGAAAGGAGCCUCCCUUGAGGAAAUACCUCCAUGAGACCCAGCUGUAAGGCAUUUUCUCAAUUAGUGAUCAAGGGUGGGAGGGCCCAGCUCAUGGUGGGUGGAGCCAUCCCUGGGCUGGUGGUCUUGGGUUCUAUAAGAGAGCAAGCUUAGCAAGCCAGGGGAAGCAAGCCAGUACAUUCCUCCAUGGCCUCUGCAUCAGCUCCUGCUUCCUGACCUGCUUGAGUUCCAGUCCUGACUUCCUUUGGUGAUGAAGAGCAAUGUGGAAGUGUAAGCUGAAUCAACCCUUUCCUCCCCAGCUUGCUUCUUGAUCAUGAGGUUUGUGCAGGGAUAGGAACCCUGACUGUCUCGAUUCAUCUUCCAUUUGCCAUGAACCUGCCCAACAGGCAAACUGGGUAGGUGCGAGGUCAGCCAGGUUACCGUCUACUCCUAGUGGGUCCAGUGCUUCCUAAUAAGUCUGCGUCUUUUCUCUCUCACUCAUUUUCUAAUUGGCCGUUAUUAAUUUGCUGUUGACUCGUGAGGAUCCCUUGUGCGUGACAGGAAUUAGCUCCGCCAUGGGGAACGACUGUUUCUUUCAGUUUUUCCACUCGGCUGCCUUAGGUCAGCGGUUCCCGAGCUUCCUAAGGCUUUCGACCCUUUAGUACAGUUCCAUGCAACUAUUUCACGGCUUCUUUAUAACUGCGGUUUUGUCGCUGUAAUGAAUCGUAAUGUAAAUAGGUUUGGAGACAGAGGUUAGACAGAGGGGUUGAGACCCACAGGUUGUGAACCACUGCCUUACCAGGAGGCCAGCUCCUUUCCUGUGGUGCUUUCUCCGGUUUCAGCUGCACCUGAGCCAAUGCAGGACCCAUCUCACGCACAGCUACACUUUUUUUCUCUCUGUCUCGAAUGUCUCUAAUGUCAGGAAUGAUCCAGAACCACCUAUCUGAUUUCUCCUCCAGAGAGAGACUUCUCUCUUUGCUGCGGAACGAGAAAGAGCUCGACGUCACUGCCGGUGUUUCCUCUCUCCCGUUCAUCAGAAGGUCUCCCUCUAUCCAUCACCCAGCUCUUGGUUAUUUUAUAUCUCUCUACUUUCCUAGCAAAUGCUGCCAACCACAUUAUUGGGGUCCAUUGUGAGUAUUAGAGAAAUAGACAUUAAUUCAUUAAUGUUUUCUUACGUGUCAAGUUUUUGUUACUAUAACAAACAGCCCAGAGCUGGCUGAUGAGAAGUGUUUUGCUCUGACCCGCCAUUUUGGAGGUUCCUGGCCCUGACAGAUUUGCCUGCAGUGAGUCAGAGUCAUGGUAGCAGUAUGAAGGCAGCAGAGUCCAGAAGGGCUGGGCCCUACUGUCUCUUUCACAGGCACAUCACCCAGAGACCUCCCUCUAGACCUCGUCUCAUAAAGGUUUUCUACCUCCCAAUUACCACCUUGGAAAUACUGGGGACAGAGCCUUUAACACAUGGGACUUGGAGGGACACAAAAUACAGCAUUGUAACACAUCACACAUUAUAUAAAACAUACUGUCCUGAAGUGUUCAGGGUGACAUUAAGUCGUUCACACCACCACUGUGUAACCGUCACCCCUAAGAACCUUCCCGGAUCCCAGAUCAAGCACACCUGGAACAUCCAGGACCCCAGUCCCACCUGUCUCUGGGAGCCAUGCUGUUCUCUUAGGGACUCAGUGUGUGGAAUCAUGCCAUACCUUCCUGUGACUGGCUCGUCUGGUGUACCAGGAUGCCCUCAGUUUCCCCCACCCUAGAGAACACGUCAGAAUCAUGCGGACAUCUCAGAAGGAUUGUGUAGAGCAACUCCUUGGAUGGCUUACCAGAAAUGCCUUACCUUCAUGCAUUACAUUAAUUUUAAAGGUGUCCUGACUGGCAUCUGAGGAGCCCCACCAUCCGGGUUUGCCUGAAACUAUGGGAUUCCUUCCUCUGAAAAUUUGGUACAUGUCUGUUUAAGCUUUGCUUAUAGAUUUCUGGACGGUUCUGCGCCAUGCUGACCCUGUUUCUGCACACACCGUUGGGCUGGUGGACUCUUAAGAGAGCUGAUGGUGAUGGGCAUGGAUCCCGUUAGGACCAGAGCGGCACAGAGCUAUUUUAGGUGCCUGUGCGCAUGCGCAAAUAAGUGAAUGUCACUCUAAAGUCUAACCUACAGCGCCGUCUGUGGAGAAGGAGGUGGGAAGGACAGUAACGCACACGGGGAGAAUCGGGGUGGGAAAUGGGGCCAUUCUCUGCUUCUUCUUCCAAAUUGUAAGUUUGGAGUUAUGUCAACCCAAAAGUUAAAAACCGUAAGUAAAUAUCUUCUUCCCCUAUAGGACUCUGGGAUGGCACUGUAAAGUUCCCAGGGCCUGAGGCAGGCCUCUCCUUGCAACUACUCAGGAAGCUGAGGCAGGAGGAUUGAGAUUAAGGCCGGCUUAGACUACAAAGGGAGUUUAGAUCCAGCCUAGGCAAUCUCUCGAGACCUUCAAAAUGAAAAAGUGAAAAGAAAAUUGUUCUGUGCAAUGGCUGUUCACUGAGGAGAUUAUUACUGUUAAACUUCUGCAGACAGGAAAAGGGUGGAAGAGGACCACCAUGGUCAACGUCCACUCACACACUCCACGACCCCAAGAAGGUACGUGGACUGUUUCUGAAACCCGCAGUGAUUUGGUGAGGAGCAGCCGCUCUGUGCACAUCGGAUCUGCAGAGCCGAGCCAAGCCCCGCCCGACCAUGUUGCCCCUGCCCACACUCCAGCCCAGCAGGGAAGCCCUGGACAGGCCUCAGGAGUCUGUUAGGAUACUCCCUCCUUCCAGGCAUUCUGGAACGUUCUCUGAAGUGUGUAUCCAUUCGGGAUGUCUCACCUCUGUAAUCUGUCUCUACCCACAGAAGACGCUGGGCAAACAGCAUGACCGUGUAGCUGUGGCAGUCUGUAGCCCUGGGCGUGCCUACUUGGUAGCAUCAAGAAUGGCCUUUGCUCGAGGUCUGGUCUUGUCACUGUGCCCCUGGUGCCUCCCUCACGGUUGAUACUUUACCCUACAAUAAAGUACAGGUGACUCUUAGGGGAAUGUUUAA